AUCGCUUCUUGGCCUUUUGGCUAAGAUCAAGUGUAAGAAAAGGAACAUUCCAGACAGAACAUAUAAAUAUCAAUCUCAAAGGAUUAUUGGAUACUUAAAAUCUGAUAUUAAAACAUUUUUGAGUACAGUAUUGUUAUUAAACUAGAAACCUGUUUUUUCCAUGUCAGCAGAUGCGCUGGAGUUCCC